rnacentral:rRNA from 1 species
GACGAACCGUGCGAACGUUGUUCGGAAUAACUGGGCUUAAAGGGUGCGUAGGCGGGUCCGCCAGUCUGUGGUGAAAUCCUCCCGCUCAACGGGAGAACGGCCGUGGAUACUGCGGACCUCGAGGAAGAUAGGGGCGUGCGGAACAGAUGGUGGAGCGGUGAAAUGCGUUGAUAUCAACUGGAACUCCGGUGGCGAAGGCGGCACGCUGGGUAGUUUCUGACGCUGAGGCACGAAAGCUAGGGGAGCAAACGGG